rnacentral:lncRNA from 1 species
CACCACGAUGUGGUUAAAUAUCCACAUAAUAUCACUUUAUCUUCCACCAUCCUAUCAUCAUCAUGGUCACCACCAUAGCACCUUUUUAUAUCCAUGAUCACAGUUUCCUCCGAAACCACAACCACCGAUUAUUUUAUAACCACCAUUGCUGAUCCGGUAACCGUCGUCGCUCCGAUAAUCAUCGCCCUUGCUGUAACAACCACCACCACAUGUUUCUCUACCGUCGCUUCAACCACCUCCAUUUCUUCUGUAACAACCAUCGCCUCUUCCAUAAUCACCAUCUACUCCUUCAUGAACAGAUCCAUCACACGUCCUCCAUCAUCAUAGCCGCCACGACCACCACUAACUCUGAAACCUCCACUACAUCUUUCCAUUCUACUCAACG